rnacentral:rRNA from 1 species
GACGAACGCUGGCGGCGUGCCUAAUACAUGCAAGUAGAACGCUCAAGGAGGAGCUUUCUCCUCUGGAUGAGUUGCGAACGGGUGAGUAACGCGUAUGUAACCUGCCCGUUAGCGGGGGAUAACUAUUGGAAACGAUAGCUAAUACCGCAUAACAGUAGAUGAUGCAUGACAUUUACUUAAAAGGUGCAAUUGCAUCACUACCAGAUGGACCCUGUUGGUAUUAGCUGGUUGGUGGGGUAACGGCUCACCAAGGCGACGAUGCAUAGCCGACCUGGGAGGGGAUCGGCCCACACGGGACUGGAGACAGGCCCCGACUUCCAAGGGGAGGAACAGGAGGGGAACCUCCGGCAAGGACGGAAGUCUGAACGGGGCAACGCGGGUGAGUGAAGAAGGUUCUCGGGUCGUAAAACUUCGGUGUAAGGGAAGGACGAAAGUGGUAGUUAAAAGUUCACACCUUGACGGUAUCUUAUCAGAAAGGGACGGCUAACUACGUG